rnacentral:rRNA from 1 species
UACGUAGGGGGCUAGCGUUGUCCGGAUUUAUUGGGCGUAAAGAGCGUGUAGGCGGCCAGAUAGGUCUGCUGUGAAAACUCGAGGCUCAACCUCGAGAUGUCGGCGGAAACCAUUUGGCUAGAGUCCGGAAGAGGAAAGUGGAAUUCCUGGUGUAGCGGUGAAAUGCGCAGAUAUCAGGAAGAACACCCGUGGCGAAGGCGGCUUUCUGGGACGGUACUGACGCUGGGACGCGAAAGCGUGGGGAGCGAACAGG